ACAAAGAAUAAAUUCGAAAUACCCAGAAUCAACAAAUCGGUUACGUAAGCGAUAUAAUUCCUUUGAUUCUAAAUGUACCCUAUUUACGAGUUAAAGUAUCUCAAUAAGUAAAGUUUUUGAUAUCCAUAGCGCUGUGGGACGAAUGCCUAUACCGUGGUGGAAAGACUCUGUCACUCGUAGCAGUUGAGGUUAGUCGCUGCUAAAGAAAUCAAUAAGCUGAAGUUUUGAACGCGAUAAGCGAAGAUUAGUAACAAGAGGUCGUGAUAACUAAAUAUACUUUUGAAUACAACUAAUCCAUGAUUCAUAGCUAAUCCAUGUACUCUAAGGAAAAAUAUGAUG
rnacentral:misc_RNA from 1 species